rnacentral:rRNA from 1 species
GACGAACGCUGGCGGCGUGCCUAAUACAUGCAAGUUGAGCGCUGAAGGUUGGUACUUGUACCAACUGGAUGAGCAGCGAACGGGUGAGUAACGCGUGGGGAAUCUGCCUUUGAGCGGGGGACAACAUUUGGAAACGAAUGCUAAUACCGCAUAAAAACUUUAAACACAAGUUUUAAGUUUGAAAGAUGCAAUUGCAUCACUCAAAGAUGAUCCCGCGUUGUAUUAGCUAGUUGGUGAGGUAAAGGCUCACCAAGGCGAUGAUACAUAGCCGACCUGAGAGGGUGAUCGGCCACAUUGGGACGGAGACACGGCCCAAACGCAUACGGGAGGCAGCAGUAGGGAAUCUUCGGCAAGGGGCGAAAGUCUGACCGAGCAGCGCCGCGUGAGUGAAGAAGGUUGUCGGAUCGUAAAACUCUGUUGGUAGAGAAGAACGUUGGUGAGAGUGGAAAGCUCAUCAAGUGACGGUAACUACCCAGAAAGGGACGGCUAACUACGUG